rnacentral:miRNA from 1 species
AAGUCACUGAUUUCUUUAGU